UCGCAGCCAAUUAAGCCAACUGUGCUCUUUUCCCCAUGGGGGCCCAGUGUGCAAUGGCUGCAGAUAGCAGCCUCCUUGGUAGUGUAUGCAACCUGUUGCCUGUACAGGUUGCCCUAAGGGACCUUGGAGACAACU
ensembl:snoRNA SNORA70 Small nucleolar RNA SNORA70